rnacentral:lncRNA from 10 species
GCUAGAUGCUGAAGGACGUAGGAAUAUUCAGGAAAGAACUAAUCACAGAUUUGUGCUGAACAGGAGCAAAGACUUUAGUUUAUUGGAACCCAUGGAGGACAGGUGAAUAUGUCAACAAGUUUGGAAGUCAAGGCCAUUAUUCUCAAUGGCUUCAUUUUUUUUUUCAGGGACGUAUGAGUUAAGAACAUUGGAUGAGAUUUAGGGAUAGAAACUAAGGUGAGAUGCUUGAGAAUUGCUACCAAAUGGGAGCCAACUAGGGAGCAUAUGGGAGACCUAGCUGAAGCAGAGGCCCGUGCAUUUGUAACGGGGCCAAUCAGCACAAUUGUAUGAUUUUCCACUGGAGCGUCUGGAAGCUUGGAAGGAAAGGCUGAGUAAACAGAGUAUUGGAUUGAUCUCGUAUUGGGAGUUGGCAGGGUUAGUCAGGGUGGAGGGCAGGGAGUUGAGGGGAUGGAGGAUGGAAAGGAAAUGAGUAACCAUUAGCUGGUGAGGAAGAAAGGAAAGCCAGAGGAGGAGUGAAGUAAUGUACGGGGAGCAUUGCCAGGAUUGGAAGGAUGGAAGACUCUGCCAGAUAUAAGACCUUCAGCCUACUCCAUCCAAGGCAUCCAUCUGUCUUCAGAAGAGAUUAGAAUUUUGUUCUGAAGCCAUGCAAAGAGUAAGACCAAGUGCUAACAUCCAAUUUGCAUGUGCCGGGAGAGAAAAUUCUUCAUGGAUCUCUGGUGCUCCUACACAUCUCACUGAUGGAGUAACUGGGGCCAAGGGAGAUUACCAACUUGCCCAAGAUGUCAACAUUAGUAAGAGAAAGAGCCAAAUUUCAAACUCAGGUAAAACUUCCACAUGGCCUGGACAAGACCUCGGAGGUGAUAAAAAUCUUGUAUGACCCUGGGAUUCUCAGAUUUGAAAUCAGAAGGCUCGCUAUUUCAGAAUAAACACAAAGCUAAUAUAGAUAUAGUUGAAAAUUUACAGCCCAAACUUAGACUUAGUUUUGCUUAGCAACUGGACCAAAAUAAUAAACAAGAAGAGAAAUACCUGUUCUCCAGCGAUUUCAUAAAUCUGCCUUCAGUAUAAAUUUUGCAGACAACAUUAAAGAAAGACCUUUGGAGUAGAGCCAAGCCUUUGAAAACCCACUUUAACCUUGUGCUUGGCACUGUGCUAUAAAAAGUUUACUGUGACCUUCCAAAGAAACUGUAAGGGGCCAUUUUGUGGCUCUUAUCUUUUUUUGUUCUCCAUCCCCAGUCUUCUUAAUUACAUUUUCACAUGAACUCUGUGGGUAUUAAAUGAAGCUGGGUCCAUUCAGUAUUUCUGUUCAAUCUUCUCAGAAAAUUGGUUCUGUUUUCUUUGGGCAAUCUAUAGGCAGUUUCUGAUGCAUUUCUCUACCAUUCUGGUAAUGUAUUUAUUUCCCCAGCCAUUUUUCAUAGGGGACACUUCCACCAGUUUAUUUUUUUUU